rnacentral:rRNA from 1 species
AUUGAACGCUGGCGGCAGGCCUAACACAUGCAAGUCGAGCGGAUGAAGGGAGCUUGCUCCUGGAUUCAGCGGCGGACGGGUGAGUAAUGCCUAGGAAUCUGCCUGGUAGUGGGGGAUAACUUCCGGAAACGGGCGCUAAUACCGCAUACUUCCUGAGGGAGAAAGUGGGGGAUCUUCGGACCUCCCGCUAUCAGAUGAGCCUAGGUCGGAUUAGCUAGUUGGUGGGGUAAAGGCCUACCAAGGCGACGAUCCGUAACUGGUCUGAGAGGAUGAUCAGUCACACUGGAACUGAGACACGGUCCAGACUCCUACGGGAGGCAGCAGUGGGGAAUAUUGGACAAUGGGCGAAAGCCUGAUCCAGCCAUGCCGCGUGUGUGAAGAAGGUCUUCGGAUUGUAAAGCACUUUAAGUUGGGAGGAAGGGCAGUAAGUUAAUACCUUGCUGUUUUGACGUUACCAACAGAAUAAGCACCGGCUAACUUCGUG